CACCUACGGGGGGCCGCAGUGGGGAAUAUUGCACAAUGGGGGAAACCCUGAUGCAGCGACGCCCCGUGAAGUAUGGAGUAUUUCGGUAUGUAAACUUCUAUCCGCAGGGAAGAAAAUGACGGUACCUGACUAAGAAGCCCCGGCUAACUACCUGCCAGCAGCCGCGGUAAUACGUAGGGGGCAAGCGUUAUCCGGCUUUACUGGGUGUAAAGGGAGCGUAGACGGCCUGGCAAGUCUGAUGGGAAAACCCG
rnacentral:rRNA from 1 species